rnacentral:rRNA from 1 species
UACGUAGGGGGCAAGCGUUGUCCGGAAUCAUUGGGCGUAAAGCGAGCGUAGGCGGCCCGGUAAGUCCGCUGUAAAAGUCCAGGGCUCAACCCUGGAAAGCCGGUGGAUACUGUCGGGCUAGAGUCCGGAAGAGGCGAGUGGAAUUCCUGGUGUAGCGGUGGAAUGCGCAGAUAUCAGGAGGAACACCGAUGGCGAAGGCAGCUCGCUGGGACGGUACUGACGCUGAGGCGCGAAAGCGUGGGGAGCGAACAGG